AGGUAUUCAACAGGGGCAACUUGAGAUCACAUGUUGUCAUUUUUUUCUUUUUGAUUUGAUUCGAUGAAUCAGUAUCUCAACAUGUGUUCUCAGGUUACCCCUGUUGAAUUAGU
rfam:Solanum lycopersicum cultivar Heinz 1706 chromosome 12, whole genome shotgun sequence.